GAUGAACGCUGGCGGCGUGCCUAAUACAUGCAAGUCGAGCGAACGGACGAGAAGCUUGCUUCUCUGAUGUUAGCGGCGGACGGGUGAGUAACACGUGGAUAACCUACCUAUAAGACUGGGAUAACUUCGGGAAACCGGAGCUAAUACCGGAUGAUAUUUUGAACCGCAUGGUUCAAAAGUGAAAGACGGUCUUGCUGUCACUUAUAGAUGGAUCCGCGCUGCAUUAGCUAGUUGGUAAGGUAACGGCUUACCAAGGCAACGAUGCAUAGCCGACCUGAGAGGGUGAUCGGCCACACUGGAACUGAGACACGGUCCAGACUCCUACGGGAGGCAGCAGUAGGGAAUCUUCCGCAAUGGGCGAAAGCCUGACGGAGCAACGCCGCGUUAGUGAUGAAGGUCUUCGGAUCGUAAAACUCUGUUAUUAGGGAAGAACAUAUGUGUAAGUAACUGUGCACAUCUUGACGGUACCUAAUCAGAAAGCCACGGCUAACUACGUG
rnacentral:rRNA from 1 species